GCGAGAGUGGCGGAACUGGCAGACGCGCGGGUUUUAGGAGCCCGUGGGGUAACCCUUGAGGGUUCGAGUCCCUCCUCUCGCACCA
rnacentral:tRNA from 1 species